rnacentral:rRNA from 1 species
GUGCCAGCAGCGCGGUAAUACGUAGGGGGCGAGCGUUGUCCGGAAUUACUGGGCGUAAAGGGAGCGUAGGCGGCCGAUUAAGUUGGAUGUGAAAUCCCCGGGCUUAACUUGGGUGGUGCAUCCAAUACUGGUUGGCUAGAGUACAGGAGAGGAAAGCGGAAUUCCUGGUGUAGCGGUGAAAUGCAUAGAUAUCAGGAGGAACAUCGGUGGCGAAGGCGGCUUUCUGGACUGACACUGACGCUGAGGCUCGAAAGCGUGGGGAGCAAACAGG